AAUGAACGCUGGCGGCGUGCUUAACACAUGCAAGUCGAGCGAGAACGUCGACUUCGGUUGACUAGUAAAGCGGCGAACGGGUGAGUAACACGUGGGCAACCUGUCUUGGAGUGGGGGAUAACCUGGGGAAACUCGGGCUAAUACCGCAUAUGUUCUCAGCGCUUCGGUGCUGCGAGGAAAGCCGGCCAAUUCUUGAAAGCUGGCGCUCUUUGAGGGGCCCGCGUCCGAUUAGCUUGUUGGUGGGGUAACGGCCCACCAAGGCUGCGAUCGGUAGCCGGCCUGAGAGGGUGAUCGGCCACACUGGGACUGAGACACGGCCCAGACUCCUACGGGAGGCAGCAGUGGGGAAUAUUGGACAAUGGGCGCAAGCCUGAUCCAGCAACGCCGCGUGGAGGACGAAGGCCUUCGGGUCGUAAACUCCUGUCAGUUGGGACGAAAAGCUAUCGGUCAAUAGCCGAUAGUCAUGACGGUACCAGCAGAGGAAGCCCCGGCUAACUCCGUG
rnacentral:rRNA from 1 species